AGAAACUCAGAAGCUAAUAAAAUAAAUGUGACAACCGAGCAACUAGGUCUUGCAACCCAAGAGAAAAUUAAACAGUGCUAGUAGAAAAGGAUACCAUAGCAUCCCCUACAACGCCUCCAGUUUUUAGCAUUUCCUCCAUCACAGCCCACGGGGAACCCAACAUCCAAACUUGGGCCCAAAAGCCCUAACAAUUAGCCAAGGUCCACCCCAGGCCCAACAAACCUGGAACCCAGCGGUAAACCCUAGUGUCCCUAUAGCUAGCGGCCAAUUGUAGUCUUCCCACGCGUCAGCCUCAUCCACCCCAUUGCUGCACCAUAAGCCGUUGCCUCCACCGCGUAGGUCCACCAUCAGACCAACCCGCAUCAGGAUCAAAUUUGACAAGGAGAAUAGAGCUCCACCACCCGCAUCAAAGUCCAAAACCAAUCCAACUGUGAGCGUUGCUGCCGAAGAGAAAACGGGAUCUCCACCAAGCCCUGCGUCCUCGAACACCAAAAACAACCAAUCUCAUUCGAUCAGAUUUGAGCCCAAGUUGCCCUGAUUAACAGAGCCAUCUUCAAAUCUCCAUCCAACACCCCCUAUUCCAGAGGCAAUAACAAUCUCCCAAUUCCAACCAGACGCAACAGCAUAAGUGCCGGUCCUCGCACUAUCACACCAACCCCUACUCGAUCUCAGAUCAAGCCCAGAACCACCAGAGCUACCAUCACCGGCCUCCAGCGAUAGUAGCAAGCAGAAAAAGCCCAAAGCCCAGGAGCAAGGGGUGCCGUAGAAAACAGCCGUCAAAGAAUUAGACCAAAGAGAGGUGAAAAGACACCCCUCCCCUUCAAAGGUAACGAACCACCACCAGAGAGAACUGGUCGCCGUCGAGAAGUCUCUCUUUCGAGAGUCAGAAGAGAGAGCAUAUUUUUGCUAUUGCUUUAAGAUUUUGAUGAAGAUGGUAAAAAGUAGAACUUAUACAACAUUCCAUGAUUUAGUUUCUUUCAAUUAUUCAAUAUGUCAAAUUUCUUUAAUGUUUUUAAGAUAAUUGAGAGGAACAACAUAUUAGAAGGAUGAAAGAAGAAUUGGCAGGUGCUCCUUUGAUAACCAAGAUAUGGUGGCGUGCCUUCGUGAAAUGUUACAAACUCAACAGAAAAGUAAUGGUUAAAGCCAUUUUCAAUCUAACUGUAAAGUCUACUCUUUUCAAAUUGAAAACAAAAUAUGAGUUUACAUAUAAAAAUCAAAAUAGUAAAAUAUCGUAGCUUAGCCCUUAUAUUACCCUGUCUUUUUCAUGAUAUUUAAAUAGUGACUUGUGAACCUGAUUGUCAUAUGAACAAAAUUACACACAAUAUAUGAACUGGUUAUACACUUGUACCAAUACAUUAUGCCCAAUAAGGGUUUACCGCAGGGGAGAGGAUGUUUCGGAUCUAAGAGGAUCUUUUAGAUCCGGAGCUAAGUUCUCACCUGAGCUAUCUAAGCUUUAAAAGAUAUAGUGACACGUGGAUAUUAUAUUUUUUUUCUCUCUGCUGUUUUUCAAGGCCCUAGAAGCCUUCCGGGUUCCAUUUCUUGAGCAAUGGUAAUUCCGGUCCCAACAUUUAAAGGUACAAGUGUUUUCUCAUCCACCCAACCCUUGAAAACGUUUCCAAGUCUCUCUCUCUCUCUCAAUAGCAGAUCUCCGCAGAGAAGACGUUCGCUCUCUGUUAAGUUCUUGAAUCCUGACUCAUCUGUAAGCAAAUUUGAUGAACCCGACAUUGUAUAGAACCUAAGUAUAUAUUCAUAUAUGAUUUAGUUUUGAAUUCAAAUGUCAAGUAUAAGUUAAGGACUUAAGAAAGUCAUUUUGGUCAAACUUAUCACAUCUGCUAGAAUUUGAAAUUCGUAAAUACAGUUACGAGUUUAUCUAGUUUUUGAAAAAGCAGUUAGGAGGAAUUGUACGUCAGUUUCUUGAUGGAAGAAACUGACAAUACGAUGCUUUAUAUACCAGAUAUUUUGGUCCCUUUUGAUGCACGAUUCAUUCUCAUCAAUUAGUCCCAUCACUGAGAGAAUGCUAAAGGUGAAAUCAGGAGAAGACUAAGAUGGAAAACUCUACUGUGUCAAGUGGCGUGGUUGAAGGUUGAAUUAUGCAAGCUGCUGGAGGAAAAAAGAUUUGCUUAACUCAGAGCUGAGGAGCUGGAGACAGCAUGUUAGUCCAAAACUGAAAACUAAUACAAUUGCAUAUAAACACAAACACAUAUAUUGCACUCACAUACACAGAUGCACAUAUAAUUAUAGAGAAAUAAUUAUGCAGAUCUUUAGAACAAGAUGUAUACCUGCUGUAACUGAUGAAGCCAUCUCAAAUACAGAUCUUCUGCACUUCUCUUUGUUUGCUAUCUAUCUAUGGGGCAAGAACUGAAUAGCUCGUGUCAAAGAGGGUACAGGGACCUAGUAUUUAUAGUGAAAACAUCCUAAUACAAUGCCCUCCCAUAAAGGAUAAUUGUAAUCACAAUAAUGUCUGUAAUCACUAUGAAAUAUGUAUUCCGACAUCUUAGUGCUUGAUUCAAGCUAUUUAGG